GCGAAGGUUGCCGAGUGGUCAAAGGCGGCAGGUUCAGGGCCUGUUCAUGUAGAUGUUCGUGGGUUCGACUCCCAUCCUUCGCA
rnacentral:tRNA from 1 species